GUGUGAAGUCCUCGAAGUGCUUUCAGAUGCAGCAGUUUGUUGAUCUGUAACUGUGUUAAAAAAAUUUGGACUUGGUGGUUGAAAAUUUCAAUCUCUCGGCAUUUAAGUUUGAUGCCUUAUCUAAUGGUACAGCUUCUAUAUUUAUAUCAUUUAAGAGUUAACGAUUGGGUAGGACAAGCUGGGCAUAUGAAAAUUCAUCGUUAAAA
rnacentral:misc_RNA from 1 species